GUCGUUGUUUCGUCACUGAGUCAUAUAUAUAUUCCUUGUUAUUAUGCUAUGAAUAUAAUUAUAAAGCCUUAGUUUAGAAUGAACACUGUAAACAUAAUAUUCUUACCCUAUUUGAACUGAUAGGUACCUACAAAUAUUUGUAUGCCCAAUUAUGGGCAUUAUGUUUUAUGGUCUGUGCCUCCGUCUGUUCGUUCGUUCGUCCGUCCGUCUGUCUGUCUGUCCGUCCGUUCGUCCUGCUUCAUGUUAAAGUUUUUGGUCGAGGUUGUUUUUGGUGAAGUUGAAAUUCAAUCAACUUGGAACUUAGUACACAUGUUUCCUAUGAUAUGAACUUUCUAAUUUUAAUGCAAAAUUAGAUAUUUCACGGUCCAGUGAACAUAGAAAAUGAUAGUGCAGAUUGGACAUCCAUGUACUUAGGACACAUUCUUGUUUUUUGAAAUAUUUUAAGAUUAGUGUGAUUGACAUUUUAUAUACAAACAUAGAUUAUUUGGAAUAUGAUUUUGUUGUUAAAUU
rnacentral:lncRNA from 1 species